UUACUUACCUAGUGGGAGAGAUACCAUGAUCACAAACGUGGUUUUCCCAGGGUGAGGCUUAUCCACUGCACUAUGGAUGUGCUGACCCCUGUGAUUUCCACAAAUGUGGGAGACUCGACUGCAUAAUUUGUAGUAGUGGGGGACUGCGUUCACACUCUCUCCUA